GGAGAGUUAGCUCAGAUGGUAGAGCACUCACUUUGCUUCUAGAAGGUGGUGGGAUUGAUACCUGCAUUCUCCA
rnacentral:tRNA from 1 species